UGUAUACCUGGAAGAGCUUUCUGCACUAUGCUCUCUUCUUUAUGCCUUCUGAGUCUACUGUUAAAGUGAUUGGAACAAUGCCUAGCACAUUUGCUGAUGAUUUGGGAUGAAUUCUGAGGAGGAAAUAAGAAACAUUUAGAGUCUUUCCGGUUACAUCAAGGAGAAAGUCUCAGUUCGGUGUCUUUAAUACCUCUCUAAACCUGCUGAUAUCGCCUUUGUACAAAGAGAAUGUGGGCCUGAAUUAUAGACCGCGUGGCAGCCAGCAUCGUCCAGACGGAAUUUAAUAACAUUAUUUUGGUUUCAUUUAUGGUCCACCUAUUUGUGGCAAGUGAUUCUGGUUUCUGACUUAUGGUAGUAAUGAAAAGUGUCCUUUUAUUUAGGUUUUUAAAAUGUGAGCUAAUUUAAAAAACAAUAUUAAGUAAAUAAUAUUGGCAGAAUUGUGGAUAUGGUAAAAACCAUGGAGGCGGUCUGUGCAUGAAUGACCUUUGGGGACCCUUGAGCUAAAGAAACCAUAACUCCAUAUGUUUGAGUAGAGACAGUUGCCAGAUAAAAAUACAUGACACCCAGUUGAUUUUGAAUUUUGGAUAAUGCAUGAGACACACUUCCACUAAAAAUUAUUGUUACCUGAAAUUUUAGUAAAAGUAUGUCUUGUGUAAUGUUUGGGCUCUAUUUAUACUAAAAAAUUAUUAUUGUUUAUCCGAAAUUCAAAUUUAACCAGGCAUCUUGUAUUUUUUUAUUUGCUAAAUCUGGCAACCUUAAGAGUAAGGCCUGGACAAGAGCAGCCUGGACAUUAAAUUCAACCCUCAGUUCUGGCAGCUGGUGCUCACUGGCUUCAGCCUCCUUUCCUCCUCCUGUCUGAGGUGUUAUAAUCAGAGUAAGUGGUAAAACAGCUGCUGUCCGGGAGACUCUCUGGGGCUUCUCGCCUGUUCCCUCAUCACCUCUGGGAGUCUCAGUAGAGGAGGCAGACUCGUUCCGUUCUUCUCAGCGCCCUUUCACCCCUCA